UUAGUGGCGAACGGGUGAGUAACGCGUAAUCAACCUGCCCUUCAGAGGGGGACAACAGUUGGAAACGACUGCUAAUACCGCAUACGAUCUAAUCUCGGCAUCGAGGAUAGAUGAAAGGUGGCCUCUACAUGUAAGCUAUCACUGAAGGAGGGGAUUGCGUCUGAUUAGCUAGUUGGAGGGGUAACGGCCCACCAAGGCGAUGAUCAGUAGCCGGUCUGAGAGGAUGAACGGCCACAUUGGGACUGAGACACGGCCCAGACUCCUACGGGAGGCAGCAGUGGGGAAUCUUCCGCAAUGGACGAAAGUCUGACGGAGCAACGCCGCGUGAGUGAUGACGGCCUUCGGGUUGUAAAGCUCUGUUAAUCGGGACGAAAGGCCUUCUUGCGAAUAGUGAGAAGGAUUGACGGUACCGGAAUAGAAAGCCACGGCUAACUACGUGCCAGCAGCCGCGGUAA
rnacentral:rRNA from 1 species